GACAGAGGAUGCAAGCGUUAUCCGGAAUGAUUGGGCGUAAAGCGUCUGUAGGUGGCUUUUUAAGUUUGCCGUCAAAUCCCAGGGCUCAACCCUGGACAGGUGGUGAAAACUAUCAAGCUAGAGUACGGUAGGGGCAGAGGGAAUUUCCGGUGGAGCGAUGAAAUGCGUAGAGAUCGGAAGGAACACCAACGGCGAAAGCACUCUGCUGGGCCGACACUGACACUGAGAGACGAAAGCUAGGGGAGCGAAUGGG
rnacentral:rRNA from 1 species